rnacentral:rRNA from 1 species
CGGGUGAGUAACACGUGGAUAACCUACCUAUAAGACUGGGAUAACUUCGGGAAACCGGAGCUAAUACCGGAUAAUAUAUUGAACCGCAUGGUUCAAUAGUGAAAGACGGUUUUGCUGUCACUUAUANAUGGAUCCGCGCUGCAUUAGCUAGUUGGUAAGGUAACGGCUUACCAAGGCAACGAUGCGUAGCCGACCUGAGAGGGUGAUCGGCCACACUGGAACUGAGACACGGUCCAGACUCCUACGGGAGGCAGCAGCG